ACAAAAUUGUUUCUUUUUUUUCUCUCUCCUAGAACUUCUCAUUUUCUCUAAACCUCUCUCUCUAUUUUCUUUCUUAUCUCUUUCAUAUAUGCUUCCUACAAACAAAUUUUUGAGUUUAUGCUUUCAUUAUUUUUUACAAAUUCAUCUGAGUUUAUGAUUUUAUUAUUUUUUACAAAUACCCUAUAACAUUCAUUUUUCAAUUUUUUAUUCUCAGAUCUCGAAUCAAAACCAUUGAAUCCAUAGGAUUUGAAAUCAAAAUCACCGGUUAUAAGAUCAAAAUAGUUUGUUGAUUAUAUAUUUUGUGUUUUGAUUUCCGGACAAGUUUUGUUCUAUUUAUGGAGGAUAUUGUUUAUCUUCUUCAUCCAACUCUGAGAGAAAAAAGCUAAAGUUGUUUCAAUUUAUGCCUAUGAAGAUGUUCCGACUAUGAUGAAUUGGCUUUGCAAAAGGUUGUUGCUAAUCAGGUUAUUGAUGUUGCUGUUAAAGGAAAUGGUAGGGAAUUCCAGUUUCCAUUCAUAUUUCAUUAUCUGCAUAGCUUUUUAAGAAAUAUGAGGAGCAAUACUCUUAACAUUCCAAUGACAGAGAUGUUUGUAAAGAACUGUUUUUUAUUUAUGCUUAUAGCUAUACAUGUUAUUGAUAAGAAAGAAUUUUGGAGAUUGAGCUUGAAUUUCAGAUUGAGCUUAAGAAAGACAUUUCAAAUAUUUUGUUAGAACUCUGUAUUUUGGUGGAACAAUGUAUUUUGUUGUCCUUUAGAGUUAUUUUAUUAUCUCUUAUGUAAAUAUUAAAUAUCAUGUAUGACAUUGAAUAUGUUCAAACAAUGAAAGGAGCUCAAGGCCAAUAUUAAUCUUUUGGAAAA